rnacentral:misc_RNA from 1 species
CAACCAGAAAAAAAUAGAGGAAAAACUAUCAAAGUAGGAGAACCUUCAAUUGGCCGCAACACCUGAGUCUACCAUAAAUUAAGUAUAUGCAAGUAUUUUCCGAUUAUUGUUGUUGCAGCUAACAAUAACUCAUGAAUUGGGGAAUGGGGAUGCUCUUCUAGAGAGGUCAACAAUGGAAACAGCUUACACUGCAAGAAGCUGUUGUAAAUAUUAUCAAUAAAG